UGUAUGUGCAUGGGUGUAUAGUUUUGUGUACAUGUGCAUGUGUGUAUAUGAAUAGACAUAACAUGCACAUACAUAUAAACACAAGCACACACACACACAGAG
ensembl:miRNA Gm22925 predicted gene, 22925